rnacentral:ncRNA from 1 species
GGUUGAACAGGUUUUAUAGCUUGCUUCAAGAAUUUUUGGCUUCCAGGGUGGGAAGCU